AUUGAACGCUGGCGGCAGGCUUAACACAUGCAAGUCGAGCGGUAACAGGAGAAGCUUGCUUCUCGCUGACGAGCGGCGGACGGGUGAGUAAUACUUAGGAAUCUGCCCAGUAGUGGGGGAUAGCUCGGGGAAACUCGAAUUAAUACCGCAUACACCCUACGGGGAAAAGGGGGCACUUGUGCUCUCGCUAUUGGAUGAGCCUAAGUCGGAUUAGCUAGUUGGUGGGGUAAAGGCCUACCAAGGCGACGAUCUGUAGCUGGUCUGAGAGGAUGAUCAGCCACACCGGGACUGAGACACGGCCCGGACUCCUACGGGAGGCAGCAGUGGGGAAUAUUGGACAAUGGGGGCAACCCUGAUCCAGCCAUGCCGCGUGUGUGAAGAAGGCCUUUUGGUUGUAAAGCACUUUAAGCAGUGAAGAAGACUCUAUGGUUAAUACCCAUAGACGAUGACAUUAGCUGCAGAAUAAGCACCGGCUAACUCUGUGCCAGCAGCCGCGGUAAUGCAGAGGGUGCAAGCGUUAAUCGGAAUUACUGGGCGUAAAGCGAGCGUAGGUGGCUUGAUAAGUCAGAUGUGAAAUCCCCGGGCUUAACCUGGGAACUGCAUCUGAUACUGUUAGGCUAGAGUAGGUGAGAGGGAGGUAGAAUUUCAGGUGUAGCGGUGAAAUGCGUAGAGAUCUGAAGGAAUACCGAUGGCGAAGGCAGCCUCCUGGCAUCAUACUGACACUGAGGUUCGAAAGCGUGGGUAGCAAACAGGAUUAGAUACCCUGGUAGUCCACGCCGUAAACGAUGUCUACUAGUCGUUGGGGAACUUGAUUCCUUAGUGACGCAGCUAACGCAAUAAGUAGACCGCCUGGGGAGUACGGCCGCAAGGUUAAAACUCAAAUGAAUUGACGGGGGCCCGCACAAGCGGUGGAGCAUGUGGUUUAAUUCGAUGCAACGCGAAGAACCUUACCUGGUCUUGACAUAUCUAGAAUCCUGCAGAGAUGCGGGAGUGCCUUCGGGAAUUAGAAUACAGGUGCUGCAUGGCUGUCGUCAGCUCGUGUCGUGAGAUGUUGGGUUAAGUCCCGCAACGAGCGCAACCCUUUUCCUUAGUUACCAGCGGUUUGGCCGGGGACUCUAAGGAUACUGCCAGUGACAAACUGGAGGAAGGCGGGGACGACGUCAAGUCAUCAUGGCCCUUACGACCAGGGCUACACACGUGCUACAAUGGUAGGUACAGAGGGCAGCUACACAGCGAUGUGAUGCGAAUCUCAAAAAGCCUAUCGUAGUCCAGAUUGGAGUCUGCAACUCGACUCCAUGAAGUCGGAAUCGCUAGUAAUCGCGGAUCAGAAUGCCGCGGUGAAUACGUUCCCGGGCCU
rnacentral:rRNA from 1 species